AUUGAACGCUGGCGGCAUGCUUUACACAUGCAAGUCGAACGGCAGCGGGGGCUUCGGCCCGCCGGCGAGUGGCGAACGGGUGAGUAAUGCAUCGGAACGUGCCCAGUCGUGGGGGAUAACACAUCGAAAGAUGUGCUAAUACCGCAUACGUCCUGAGGGAGAAAGCGGGGGAUCUUCGGACCUCGCGCGAUUGGAGCGGCCGAUGUCGGAUUAGCUAGUUGGUGGGGUAAAAGCCCACCAAGGCGACGAUCCGUAGCGGGUCUGAGAGGAUGAUCCGCCACACUGGGACUGAGACACGGCCCAGACUCCUACGGGAGGCAGCAGUGGGGAAUUUUGGACAAUGGGGGCAACCCUGAUCCAGCCAUGCCGCGUGAGUGAAGAAGGCCU
rnacentral:rRNA from 1 species